rnacentral:rRNA from 1 species
AGACUCCUACGGGAGGCAGCAGUUAAGAAUCUUGCGCAAUGGGCGAAAGCCUGACGCAGCGACGCCGCGUGGACGAUGAAGGCCUUCGGGUUGUAAAGUCUGGUAAACAGGGAAGAAUAAGCAAAGGGUAAUAUUCUCUGUGAUGACGGUACCUGUCUAAAGCCCCGGCUAACUACGUGCCAGCAGCCGCGGUAAUACGUAUGGGGCAAGCGUUGUUCGGAAUUAUUGGGCGUAAAGGGCGUCUAGGCGGGGGAUUAAGUUGGAUGUGAAAGCCUUAGGCUCAACCUGAGAAUUGCAUCCAAAACUGGUUCUCUUGAGUUCGGGAGAGGAGAGCGGAAUUCCCGGUGUAGCGGUGAAAUGCGUAGAUAUCGGGAAGAACACCAGUGGCGAAGGCGGCUCUCUGGCCUAGGACUGACGCUGAAGCGCGAAAGCGUGGGGAGCGAACGGGAUUAGAUACCCCGGUAGUCCACGCCGUAAACGUUGUGUACUAGGUGUUAGUGGUUUAACCACUAGUGCCGACGCUAACGCAUUAAGUACACCGCAUGGGGAGUACGGCCGCAAGGCUUAAACUCAAAGAAAUUGACGGGGGCCCGCACAAGCGGUGGAGCAUGUGGUUUAAUUCGAUGAUACGCGAGGAACCUUACCUGGGCUUGAACUGUAUCUGACAGGUGUAGAGAUGCACCCUCCUUCGGGCAGGUACAGAGGUGCUGCAUGGUUGUCGUCAGCUCGUGUCGUGAGAUGUUGGGUUAAGUCCCGCAACGAGCGCAACCCAUACUCAUUGUUGCCAUCAGGUAAUGCUGAGCACUCUAGGGGAACUGCCGGUGACAAACCGGAGGAAGGUGGGGAUGACGUCAAAUCAUCACGGCCCUUAUGUCCAGGGCUACACACGUGCUACAAUGGUCGGUACAAUGAGUUGCGAUACCGCGAGGUGGAGCUAAUCUCAAAAAACCGGCCUCAGUUCAGAUUGCAGUCUGCAACUCGACUGCAUGAAGUUGGAAUCGCUAGUAAUCGCAGAUCAGCACGCUGCGGUGAAUACGUUCCCGG